rnacentral:lncRNA from 1 species
AACAGCAAUAAUGUUCAGCAAAGAAAGAUUUACAAAUAAGUCAACAUGACGGAAAUGGUCAGUUGACCCCUUUAGGAGUUAUUGCCCUUUAUAGUCAAUUUUUAACCAUUUUUCGUAAAUCUUAGUAAUCUUUUACAAAAAUCUUCUCCUCUAAAACUACUGGGCCAAAUACUUCCAAACUUUAACUGAAUGUUCCUUAGGGUAUCUAGUUUGU